AGUCGACCUACUGGUGCCGCGGAGUUGAGUCGCGCCGCUCUCUCCCUCCCGCGCUCACUGUUCCCGAGGCUCGCCGCGUCCCGUGUGCUGCUGUAGUGCCCAAGUGAUGCCCAGGUGACAGGCGUGGCGCAGGACCCUUGUGCUCUGAGCGUGGCACAAACGCCGCCAGCCGUGACGCCCCAGGUCUCGGCGGUGCGGGUGAAGGCGGCGGAGUGUCACGUGCUUUCAGGAGAGUAGCCACCACGACCUUUCCAAACCGAACCUCUUGGAAACGACCCUCUUGGAAUACAAACAAAGCCGGUGUGUGAGUUUGUGCGUGUGCGUGUGUCGUUCUCGGUGCUGAGUCAGUGUGUUGUUCGGUGCUGCAGUGCUUCAGAAGUGCUGUGAGUCAUCCAUCAGCCACAUAAGGAGUGAGUCGUGGGUGCGUGUGGUUGCUCCAAAUCCACCACCACCUACACCACCAACACUACCACCUCGAGCUCAUCUCAACCCCGCGAGCCAAGUUUCAGCAUCGGCAACACCAGCAUCACCACCAUCGCUAGCAUCAUCAGCAUCCGGGGAGUGAUAGUGCCGAACUCAGCACCGCCGCCACAGCACACCAGCACUCACCAUGGCGCCGGGCAAGCACCUCCGCAAGCCUGUGUGCUCGGAGUACAUUCGCAGACACAGCUUCCAGUCAGGAGGAUUCUUCGAUGGGACGCCGGGUUACUCGGGAUCUGAAGGUCAUGAUAGCGACGCGUGUGAGGAGGGGGCGGUGCUCCCCUCCGCCCCCCCAAUGGAGCACAUGGACCACUUCACCGGCUACGAGCAAGUCUCCUUCGAGGCAGGUAAGUACCCCCUGGCGUGUCUUAACCUCCCUCUCUUAUACCGCAGCCUCGCCUUAAAUAUACCGUUUUCCUUUUGCUCGUUUUCUCUUCCCGUGGCCAUGAGAGAAAAUGUAAAUGCGCGGGCAAGAAGGUGGACAACGGUAUUCUGUGUUAUUAUUACUUGUAUUCUCCACUCUUCUGCCCUGCAUUACUUAAUCCCAAGCCAAGACCGAAAGUUUAUAAAUGGGAUGUAGUUAAUUUAGUACAGACCUUCCCUUCUCACAGUACUAGACUAUGAUAAUGCUUUAAGAUGAUGGCGGUGUUCCAGAAAAUAGCAAGGAGAGGGACUUAAACGGCUUAGAACCUCCUCUGAAAUAUUAGUUGGUUAAAGGGAGGAAAAGGGAAGGGGAAAGAAGAGGAAGAAGAAGGAAGGGAGAGGUAGAGAAGAGAAGAGGGGAGAAGAGCGGAUGAGGAUGACGGUAAUAGAAUGGUCAUAAUGGAGAGGAAAUGAAGGAAAACAGAACAAGAAGGAAAGAGAGGAUGGAGAGAGAGAGAGGAAAAAGAAGAGGAGA